rnacentral:rRNA from 1 species
UAGGGAAUCUUCGGCAAUGGGGGCAACCCUGACCGAGCAACGCCGCGUGAGUGAAGAAGGUUUUCGGAUCGUAAAGCUCUGUUGUAAGAGAAGAACGUGUGUGAGAGUGGAAAGUUCACACAGUGACGGUAACUUACCAGAAAGGGACGGCUAACUACGUGCCAGCAGCCGCGGUAAUACGUAGGUCCCGAGCGUUGUCCGGAUUUAUUGGGCGUAAAGCGAGCGCAGGCGGUUUAAUAAGUCUGAAGUUAAAGGCAGUGGCUUAACCAUUGUUCGCUUUGGAAACUGUUAAGCUUGAGUGCAGAGGGGGAGAGUGGAAUUCCAUGUGUAGCGGCGAAAUGCGUAGAUAUAUGGAGGAACACCGGUGGCGAAAGCGGCUCUCUGGUCUGUAACUGACGCUGAGGCUCGAAAGCGUGGGGAGCAAACAGG